ACAAACCCACUCCCUCACUUUCCAAUAUUCCAUUGUUCCUCUCCACACUCUUCAUUUUCGGAGACCAAAAAGAUCUUUCCGUCUAUACUUACUGUAAAUCACCAUGGACGCUUGUGUGCAAGUUUCAGUAAUUCGUUCAGCAAUCUAAAGAUCACCUGUUCAAAACAUUGCAACCUGAUCUGUUGGAAUGUGGAUUCUGUCGACUUCUGUCAAGCAACUCUGCAACAACAAGCAUGACCCGGUGCUCCUUCUCUGGCAUCCGCACUCAUUUUCCUGAAGAAUUCUUACAUGUAUGUCAAUUAGCCACAUUCCCAACUCUCUCCCUGUUCAGUUUUAUUUGUUUAUUCAAUAUCCUAAAUAGGAUUAGGUUUUAUGGCUAUAAAUUUUGCUUAUUACUAAGUCAUGCAACAAAAAUUAUGCCGAUUGGUUUGAUAUGAUUCAAAAUUUCAAAAGGGCAAAUGAAUCGUCAUAUUCUUCCCAGAUUCAAUUCGGGAAAGAACUCUAAAGAAGAAUGUUAAUUUUUACAUUAUGAAUGAGCGUGUCUCUGAAUGUAAUUGACAAAUUCAAAUAUAUUUGAUGAUACAUUUUUGUUCUCUCAGGGAAUCCGACAGAAGAUCAAUGUAGUGCGACCCUUAGAAACCAUUUGGUUAGGUAAAAUAGGGAACUUCCCGAUCAAGAGAAAAGAUGACGGUAUAAUAUGAAUUUACUUCGUUCAAUGGGGUCUUUCUGCAAGUUAAAUAUUAAUAGUAAUUCACUCAAAAAGUAAAAUGAAGUUAAAAAAUUAAUUGUGCUGAAGAGUUCUACAUUUCGGUAUAUUAAUGUUUAACAAUUUAGGUUUAUGAGUUAGUAUCACGUUCAACGUAAGUCAACAACAACAUACCCAGUAUAGGGUAGUGUGUAUGCAUACCCCUAUCUGACGAGGUAGAGAGGUUGUUUCCUAUCGACCCUCGGCUUAACGUAGUAUGAUACUCUGGACUAAAUAGACGCCUUUUUAAUAAACUUUAUAGAACUCUUAUUCACUCAUUUUUGUACCAAGUUUUAAUACUCCCUCUGGUUCACAAUAAGUGACCAAUUUGCUUUUAGCACGCUCAUUAAGAAAAUACUAAAUUCUAUUCAAAAAUACCUACUAUGACUAAACUACCCCUAAUUAAGCAUUUAAUGUGAGAAGUAAGAAAACUUUUUAGGGAUAUGAACAUGGGGUUUAUUUUGUAAAAACAAAUUGAAUUCUUUCUUGAUUACAUAACUAGACACUUAUUUUGAACCAAAAUGAAAAAGCAAAUUGGUCACUUAUUGUGAACCGUAGGGAGUACCUGAAGUUUUUCCUUUCAGAUCAAUAUCAUCUUUUUCAUCAUCCAUCUGUCUGCUUAGAUUCUUAUGUUAUUUUAUAUUUUCUAGCAUAUGGCUCGAGAAAUUGGCAUGUUCUCGAAGUGACUGAAACUUUGUGGUUGCUUCAGUUGUGAGUGAAAAUGCAAACCACGUUUCUCGGCCCUCCUGUACCAAUUUUAUAUGGAUCUAUCUAAAUACCAAAAAAUUUCUUUCCAGGAAUUUUCUUUGGCUUAUUAAGUGCCUGGUGCACUAGUUGUAGCAAAGAAGAACAAGGUAUACAUUCUACAGCACAAUACAACUAUUGAACGAUUUAGCUUUUAGGAAAGAAAGUCUAAUGGUCGAAACGGUUUAAGUUCUUUUUAUUUUGCAAAAACCACUUCAAGUAGUUUUAGCAAGAAGGGGAGUCCCACCAAAAGCAGUAGCAAGAACAAAUCUGAUAAGGAAAGAGCUGAAACUUCGUUAUGAUAAGCCCAGUUGAGGAGGUAAAGACUCUUCAAGAGAGCCCCUUCAGCUGAAGAGGUAAAGACUCUUCAAGAGAGCCCCUUGAGCUGAGGAGGUAAAGACUCUUCAAGAGAGCCCUUUGAGCAGAAGAAAAGCAAACAAGAUUGGAAAGACACACGUCUACCCUCAAUGCACCAAGCAAGCAAUGAUAUGAUGCCUUUUCCUUGCCUAAAUGUCUAAAUAAAAGGUAUAGCAAGUAAUACUAUCAAUUAUAUGUGGUCAUAUUGACCAUUCUAUUCUAUUUAGUCCACAGGCAAACCAAACAAUUUGAUUCUAGAUGUUGCGAUUGUUGAUAAUUGGCUGAUGUGGAGUAUGUUAAGGGUAUCUACAAGUUAAUUGGUGAUGUAUGGUAAUUUUUACUUUCUCUAUUCCUAUUUAAGUUUCCAAUUCCAUAAUUAGUGAAGAUAAAUAUUUGGGCUUCUAAUAACUGUUGUCAAAUUAGAGCAAUAUGGAAAAUACAAGGGAUUAAGUAGAUGACUGUGAAACAUCAGAAAAUAGUAGAAAGAAAUAUACACUAGCUGAUCAUCUACAAUUGUGGUGCCGGUAUUAGAUAUGCUCUAUGCUGAGCUCAUUCUUAGAUUCUUUCUCCUUUUCUCAAUUGCAUUAAGUACUGUUAAUGUGAAUUCAAACCAAUUGGAGCGUCACCUUUUCACUUCCAUUUUACUUGAUCCUUCUGCUCUAUUUCUUGGUUUUAUUUAUGCAUGAGGUAAAGUGUUAUGACAUUCAAAUCUGCUCCUAUAUUUUAUAGUUGAUAAAAAAUUAUGAUUAGAUGGAAAUGUGAAUAAAGGAUAACGUGAAAGAAAACUUGUGAUAGGUUCUAUCACCAAUUUCAUUUUUGGUAAGUCUCUCUCUGCGCAUACUUACCUACUUAAUGUAGUCAUUGUUGUUCAAUUCACUAAUCCUCUCUUGGCUUUGAUAAAGUAUCAACGAUGAUAGCAUUCUUAUUUGUAGCGUCUCAGGAAAUUUAGAAGUCUGACCAAAUUUUUAUUUACCAAAGUUUUAACAUUCUUUCCUACAUGUUGAUUUCUGAGGAAGGAAAUAUAUAUUAAGUGAAUGAAGGAUAUGCCUAUAACUAAGAUGGUCCAAUAUCCAUUUUUGUAUAAUAAAUGUGAUAAGCUCCCGAUUUCAUUAUUUAUGAUGUCUUAGUGUUCUUCAAAGAAAGAUUCUAGUUUAGUAGUAUGUUCAAAAUGUUUCUUUGCUUUACCACAGUAUUGUGUACAAGUUCCAACUUUUAGGCUUAUGGUAUAGUACUGAGUUGUAAUUUGACAUUUCUGAAAAUGCAUGUUUGUAGGGAGGAAGGAAGGGGCUUAACUUGGAGGAAGAGAAUGAUGAUAGCCAAUGGUAGAAGAAGAGGUUGAGGCCAAGAUCUAAGGAUUUGGGCCUGUAAAAUCAUGUCCAGAUGAAAAUAUCAUGUGUUAGCAGUCAGAUAGAUGACGGUUUGAGUCUUUUUACUGGUGUCUACAGGUAAGGUGUGUUAUAUGCUGCUGGACCUGUAAUUGAGAAAAGUAAAGUUUAUCAUCAUAUUAUCAUUAGGUGGUUAAGCAGAGUCUCAAGAUACUUGAUACCUCAUCUUAGUUUGAAGUAUGCAAAAGUAUUCUAUUUCAAUAUGAUCCAUUUCCUCACUAAUUUCUGAACUUUUAGUUUUGCUAAAUGUUGGCAAGGCCUAGCUUUAAUGAAGAGGCAUUAAGGAAGUUAUAGAUGCUAUAUACUCUUAAUGAAGAGAUGUAACAUGGAAAUGAAUGUAAAGGGGGACAAGUUUGCCCCUUUAAUUACAAUUUUUUUUUGUACAUUAAUGCUGAUAUAAAGAUGGGGCAAACUUAAGCUUCCUUUGAGUUAAUGUUGUUUGAUACUUUAGAGCUUUCAUCAACAAAUGAGACGCCUUAAUGUCUCUGUAAUGUGUCAUAUUAGCACAUGGACGUUGAUAUUGUUUGUAAAUAUUUGCACAUGUUAUUUGUUCAAAUGUGUUGUUCUCUGAUGCUAAGCACACCAUAACUAACAUUGCAGGUGUUGCUAGCUUUUAGCACUCCCUUGUGUUAAAUAUACAGUGGCCAAGGAGUUGAGAGAUGAUAUUGUAAAUUUCUUUGUUAUAUUAUACUUUCAGUAUGUUGCAAGUGUUAACUCGUAAAUCUCAUUGUAGACUGUAUCCUCAUUCUAUAAAUUGUAUAAAUUUCAGUGUUUCUAAGCUGAAGACAUGAAAUUCUUAUGUGCUCAUUCUACAAGUUGUAU
rnacentral:lncRNA from 1 species